GUCCUGAAAUCAAACUGAGUACUGAAAACUACGUGGACAAUGACUGGUUCAACAGUUUUCUUGAAGAUCCUGUUUUAAAUGAUAAGAUGAUUACUGAUGCAGUUCAGUCUCCAAGAAUCACAUCUGACCACAGUUAUUCUCUGAACAAUGACCAGAGUCUUACUUCUCCACUUAGUUCCCUCUGCAAAAUGGAUGACUUUGGCA
rnacentral:lncRNA from 1 species